GCAGCUCCUGGCCCGCGUGGAGAGCGACGUCGUGGGGCGCAUCCUGCGGCACUACCGCGCCAGCUGCCAGGUGCUGGGCUUCUCCUUCUCCACCAAGGUAAGUCCUGCCCCCCGGGGCCUUGCUCGCGGCCCUUCCCGCACCCCUUUCCCCUCGCAGGCGUGCCGGACUCGCCCUCCCGCUCCCCGGGCCGGGGGCCGGGGGUCUCCUUGCGGUGGGUAGCCGGGAAAGCUCGUGCCUCCGCGGGGGGAGCUUCUUCCCGGGAGGGGAGAGGAGGUUUCCUUCCUGCGACCCGCGUGCCGAGCCGAGGUGCCCGAGGCGCUGGGCAGACGCAGUGGCCCUUGCGCGCCGUGCUCUGGGGCUGGGCUGCCCGCCGUGCUCCUCGCUGAGCCCUCGGCGCUCUGAGGAGUUCCUCACCGGCGCCGCCGUGUUUCCCUGUGCCGGGACGCAGGACGUGCAGCUCAAGCUGGCGCUGAUCCGGAGCGUCGCCGAGGUCAGCCGGGCCGUGCGGGUGGCGGGGGGCUCCCGCGGCGUGGAGCUCUGCCGCAAACGGGAGCUGCUGGGCACCUUGCUGGGCUUCGUGCAGGGGGAGCCCCGGGAUCGCCUGGCGUCCCCCGUGCGCCGGGAG